GGUGGCUUAGUGGUAGAGCGCUUGCCUAGCAUGCAUGAAGUCCUGGGUUCGAUUCCUCAGCACCA
rnacentral:tRNA from 1 species